CUCUACGUCUGCAUCUCUAUUCUUGCCCUGCAAAUAGGUUCAUCUGUACUAUUUUUCUAGAUUCCACAUAUAUGCGUUAAUACACGAUAUUUGUUUUACUCUUUCUGACUUACUUCAUUCUGUAUGACACUCUCUAGGUCCAUCCACAUCUCUACAAAUGACCCAAUUUUGUUCCUUUUUAUGGACGAGUAAUAUUCCAUUGUAUAUAUGUACCACGUCUUCUUUAUCCAUUCAUCUGUCGAUGGGCAUUUAGGUUGCUUCCAUGACCUGGCUAUUGUAAAUAGUACUCCAAUGAACAUUGGGGUGCAUGUGACCUUUUGAAUUACGGUUUUCUCUGGGUAAAUCCCCAGUAGUGUGAUUGCUGGUUCAUAUGGUAAUUCUAUCUUUAGUGUUUUAAGGAACCUCCAUACUGUUCUCCAUAGUGGCUGUAUCAGUUUACAUUCCCACCAACAGUGCAAGAGGGUUCCCUUUUCUCCACACCCUCUCCAGCAUUUGUUGUUUGUAGAUUUUCUGAUGAUGCCCAUCCUAACUGGUGUGAGGUAAUACCUCAUUGUAGUUUUGAUUUGCAUUUCUGUAAUAAUCAGUGAUGUUGAGCAGCUUUUCAUGUGCCUCUUGGCCAUCUGUAUGUCUUCUUUGGAGAACUGUCUAUUUGGUCUUCUGCCCAUUUUUUAAGUGGAUUGUUUGUUUUUUUGAUAUUGAGCUCCAUGAGCUGUUUUUAUAUUUUGGAGUUUAAUCCUUUGUCUGUUGUUUCAUUUGCAAAUAUUUUCUCCCAUUCCGAGGGUUGCCUUUUUGUCUUGUUUAUGGUUUCCUUUGCUGUGCAAAAGCUUUUAAGUUUAAUUAAGUCCCAUUUCUUUAUUUUUGUUUUUAUUUCUGUUACUCUAGCAGGUGGGUCAUAAAAGAUCUUGCUGUGGUUUUUCAAAGAGUGUUUUUCCUAUGUUUUCCUCUAAGAGUUUUAUAGUGUCUGGUCUUACAUUUAAGUCUUUAAUCGAUUUGGAGUUUAUUUUUGUGUACGAUGUUAGGGAGUGUUCUAAUUUCAUUCUUUUACAUGUAGCUGUCCAGUUUUCCCAGCACCACUUACUGAAGAGACUGUCUUUUCUCCAUUGUAUGUUCUUGCCUCCUUUGUCGUAAAUUAGGUGCCCACAUGUGCGUGGAUUUAUCUCUGGGCAUUGUAUCCUCUACCAUUGAGCUAUAUUUCUGUUUUUGUACCAGUACCAUACUGUCUUGAUUAAUGUAGCUUUGUGGUAUAGCUUGAAGUCAGGGAGCCUGAUUCCUCCACUCCGUUUUUCUUUCUCAAGAUUGCUUUAGUUAUUCAGGGUCUUUUGUGUUUCCAUACGAACUGUAAAAUUUUUUGUUCUAAUUCUGGGAAGAAUGACGUUGGUAAUUUGACAGGGAUUGCAUUGAAUCUGUAGAUUGCUUUGGGUAGUAGAGUCAUUUUCACAAUAUUGAUUCUUCCAAUGCAAGAACAUGGUAUAUUUCUCCAUCUGUUUAUGUCAUCUUUGAUUUCUUUCAUUAGUGUUUUAUAGUUUUCUGAGUACAAGUCUUUCACCUCCUUAGGCAGGUUUAUUCCUAGGUAUUUUAUUCUUUUUGUUGCAAUGGUAAAUGGGAGUGUUUCCUUAAUUUCUCUUUCUGAUUUUUCACUGUUGGUGUAUAGGAAUGACAGAGAUUUCUGUGCAUUAACUUUGUAUCCUACAACCUUACCAGAUUCAUUGAUUAGUUCUAGUAGUUUUCUGGUGGCAUCUUGAGAAUUUUCUAUGUAUAGUAUCAUGUCAUCUGCAAACUUUUUCUUUUCCAAUUUUGUUUUUGUUUUUGUUUUUUUUUUUUGGCGGUACACGGGCCUCUCACUGUUGUGGCCUCUCCCGUUGCGGAGCACAGGCUCUGGACGCGCAGGCUCAGCGGCCAUGGCUCACGGGCCCAGCUGCUCCGCGGCAUGUGGGAUCUUCCCGGACUGGGGCACGAACCCGUGUCCCCUGCAUCGGCAGGCAGACUCUCAACCAUUGCGCCACCAGGGAAGCCCUUCUUUUCCAAUUUUUAUUCCAUUUAUUUCUGUUUUCUUCUCUGAUUGCUGUGGCUAUCAGGACUUCCAAAACUAUGUUGAAUAAGAGUGGUGAGAGUGGACUUCCUUGUCUUGUUCCUGAUCUUAGUGGAAAUGCUUUCAGUUUUUCACCAUUGACUGUGAUUCUUGCUGUUUGUUUGUCAUAUAUGGUCUUUAUUAUGUUGAGGUAGGUUCCGUCUGUGCCCAUUUUCUGGAGAGUUUUUAUCAUAAAUGGUGUUGAAUUUUUUCAAAAGCUUUUUCUGCAUCUAUUGAGACGAUCAUAUGGUGUUUAUUCCUUAAUUUUUUAAUGUGGUGUAUCACAUUGAUUGAUUUGCAUAUAUUGAAGAAUACUUGCAUCCCUGGGAUAAGUCCCACUUGAAACUUUUAAUGUGCUGUUGGAUUCUAUUUGCUAGUAUUUUGUUCAGUAUGUUUGCAUCUAUGUUCAUCAGUGAUACGGGUCUAUAAUUUUCUUUUUUUGUGAUAUCUUUUUCUGGUUUUGGUAUCAGGGUGAUGGUGGCUUCAUAGAAUGAAUUUGGGAAUGUUUCUCCCUCUGCAAUUUUUUGGAAGAGUUUGAGAAGGAUAAGUGUUAGCUCUUCUCUAAAUGUUUGAUAGAAUUUACAUGUGAAACCAUCUGGUCCUGGACCAGAUAAUGCUUGAACUUCACCUUGAUGCCAACCAAUGAAGGAAUUGUGCAUGAGCUGAGAACGCACCCUGCAGACCCCCCCGUCCCACUGCCUUUAAAACCCCUUCUCUGAAAGCCAUCAGCACUUCAGGUCUUUUGCAGAUGAGCUGCCCAUUCUUCUUUCUUGGCACUGGCAAUAAACGCUGAACUUCUCUUCACCACAACCUGGUGACAGUAGACUGGCUAUACUACGCACGGGUGAGUGGACCUAAGUUUGGUUUGGUAACACGGCCUUCCUGCCCUCAUCCUUCUUACGACCCUCCUUCUGACCCCCACUUCCACCCUGAGGUUUAACAGCUCAAAGUCCACUUGGAAUCUCUCUCAACCUUUCACUCAGCGCUCAGCUAUGUCACCUGGUCUCUUCUCCUUCACGGCAAACUUUCCCAUCUCCAGAGCCACUAGGAAGCCAUGCAGACCCCUCUGGGGGGCUCGCACAGGAGGGCUGAAAUGAUUUCCCUUCAUGGGGCCAGUGGGACCCGCGCCCCAGGUGGGGAUGAGGUGUGAAGAAGAGCGAGUCUCUAUGGGAGAGAAACAGAAGGGAAGGGAAGAAAGCAGGGACAGGAAGGGGGAAACGAGACCAAAAGGUGAGGCUGGAGGAGAGGAAGAGUGUGCCGUGACCUCAAGUUCAAGCUUUCAAAUAUUCAUAAAUUCUCUCCUCACCCUCUAAAAUCAAACAGGUGCAUUGGAACUUAACUUUGGAAUUCAAGUAGGAGCUCAGGCUGAAAGAGGCAACAUGUCAGAGUUAGUGGGAUAAUCGUUUAAAUCGUAGGAGUAACCCAAACUCUACAUUUUAAAAAGCAAAGAAUUAAAACAAGAAAAUGUCAAGGCUUCUCUUUUCUGAAUUGUAGAUUUAGAAUAGUAGAUACCUAAAUUGUACCUUCAUGCUUUUUUUAAUCAGAGAAGUGAAAAUAAUCACUCUUUCCUAAUAACAGGCUUUCCAUGGGUAGGUAGAGGACAUUUUCUGCUCCAUUCAGUAAGUGGAAGAGGGAGUAAAGGGCGUUCUUGACAAGGGAAAUAAAGCCUCUGGAAAUUGUCUUAAUAGCAGGCUGGGAGUUCAGGCAACAGGGGUGACUUCAGCUUUCCUGGGGCUGCCCUCACCCCCUCCCACCCCUGAUCCAUUUCACCAUGACUCAAGGCUCCCCAGAUACUCCAGCUGCUGGUGCCUCUUCUCCAGAUACAGAGGGUGAAGGUCAUUACCAGCAGAUGACACACUCGUGCCCACUCAUCCUGUAGGUCCCACCACAGUUGCCAACUUCUUUGCCAAGUUUCCCCAGGUGAAGGUCACACUUUCCACUUUCUAUUACAGGUUUUUGCUUGCGUGUUUGUGUCCUCAGCGGACUCCUUUCCUGCAGUUACGGGAAACAGAGAACUCAGUUUUAACUCUCAGCCAGAACGGAAGAGAAUUUAAGAUUUCAACUGUCUCUGAAGCUGAGAUGCUCCAGAGUCAAAUUGCAGCAAUCUUGAUGGUUUCCCCUGGGAGGAGUACAGUCCUGGGAGGCUGACGUUCACUUCCUGCCCCAGAGAGGUGACUGCCUGAUCCUGGAUCACAAAUAUUCAGUCAACGGGAUGUGAGCUGCAUCUCACGGUGAAUCUCUACGGAGUCUCCAAUCACACUAGAUCACACAUCCCUGUGUUGUUUUGUUGGCCGUCUUCCCCCAUAGAAUGUGAGCCCCCCCAGGGCAGAGAUGGCUGUCUCUUUCACUCCCUGCUGUUAUCCACACCAAGAACAGCGUCCAGCACAUAGAAGGUGUUCAAAAUCUAUUCAUUCAGUGAAUGAAGCAGUGAAUGCAUGAUUAGUGAGCCCUCAGGUCUAAAGGAGACACAUUGUCUAUAAUAUGUGUUACGGAGAUUAGAUGCAGGGUCCAUUUCCCAGACCCCUGGUGCUGACUCCCCAGAAUCCCAUCUUUGGGUCCAUGUCACCAGCAGCCUCUCCUCCUCAUUAAACCCAAUAAGCAUGUGAAGAACCAACAGAAUCAGGCAGUCAGGCUUUCUCUGGAUGGGACUUCCUACCCCCACUAGACGGAGGACGAUGGAAGACCCUCUGCUUGUUUACACGCUCAUAACUUAGAUUUCAUAAAGAAGACAUUGCGAACGUUUUGGAAUAGGAAACAUGUUGGAGGAGGUCAUCGAGAGGACGUGACCACCAGCUGACCCUCAAGGCGGACCCAGGCAGUGGAGGUUCCUCAUCCCAUCCCCACAUUUGAAGGUGCAUCUGCCCACCAUUCCACAGCGAGAGCCCUUCCGAGGACGCAGCCUUGAGAGAGCGAGCUGGUGCUGAGACCACCUAGUGUGGACAUCUAAUCAUCUGUGGCCCCCAAGACAAGCCUCAUAGGACUCCAUAUGGCCAACACCAGCGGAAGAUACUGGGAAUGCAAGACCCUCCCUGCCGUGGCUGAGCUCACAGAAUGUUGAAGGAGCUGGACAGGAAGGAAAGAGGGUGGUAAGAUGAGUUCGACUUUACAUCUGCGAGUGAGUCACACACGGGGAGUGGAGGCUCAGACAGAAGUUAUUUCUCAGCGACAGACCGGUAGGAGGGCCGACAUGAAAACCUGGUUCCUUGCCUCCGAAAGCAGCGUCUUAGCAAAGGUCACCCGAGAACUCACCUCCGAGCCAGGCGGGACCUUCUACCCUUGCGUCUGAGAAGAGACAGCACUGCCUCCUGGUGGCCAACUCGAGGCUCUACAGAGUGGCAAGCCGGCCAGGGCCACCUUCUCUGGAUCGAUUCGGAGAGGGAAAGGGGACAGGCUUCCCCUGUUCUUCAGCAAAAAGGAGCAUCAGCACCCCUACAUCAUCCAUCUCUCCUGCUUUGGUCCUAAGACAGACCAGAGGGAAUUGAAUGUCUUAAUAUCACAUCAGGUACCACAUCACGUUGAUGACGUUUUGCUCACUGGAGCUGAUGAGAGGAAGUAGCAAGGGUGAGAGGGUAAGAGAUAAGCCCCACAAGAGUUUGGAGACCUAAACUCUUUCACUUUCACUCUAAAGUGAAAAUAUACUGUGACACUUUGUAGCACCCAUUUCAAAGAAAUAGACAUAACUGUUGAUGGACUUUUUGCUUUCUGAAGGCUACAUAUAGGAUAUGUAAGCAUGAUCUUGUAACAUGAUUAUUGAGUAACGCUUAAGAUGGCCAGUUUGCGGGGGCGGGGGGGAGCGGGUGGAAAGAGUAAAGAACAAGAAGGUCUACUGCUUAGACUUCCGUAUCAUGUCCAGGAAGUAGUUCAAGCUGUCUUGUCACUUAUGCUGUGUGUCAAGAUAUGCUACGGUAUUUCCUGUGUGUGAGGCAGAUAAUAUAUUUUAACAGCAACCGAAAAAUCCCAAAGAAAGAAUCACUGCAUGGUCCCUUGGGUUUGGGAAUGAAGCCAUGCCGUCUUCUGCCAGUAACUAGCCUCAAGUUGGUAAGCAGUUCCUGGCCUCCUAUUGACCCUGGUGGAAACUUAGUGCUUGACCCCCAAGUGAUUGCCCAUCAUCACUGUUUUUUUUCCAAAUCCACCAUCCCUGUGUGGAGCUGUAAUACAUUUGGUUAUCUAUGUGUAUAUUAUGCAAAUCCAUCUGCAAACCAGACCUACCCUUUUUGUUAACUUUUCAUAGGGAACCCUCAUGAGGCCACAGGUGUGUGUUGAGGGCAAAGCAGUAGACACAGAAAUAGGCACAGUUUCCAGGUGAGUAAAUGACCCAGCUACCUGUGCAAUUAACUUGUGCCUGUUCUGAUAUAUACCAUUUCCAAGGGAUAAUUUAAUAUUACUGUUAAUAUCCAAUCUUAUGAUUUGGAAUAUCAGGAAAAAACAUUCAGUUGAUGGUGGGCAGCUCGGGGUGGCUAACAUUUUAUCUUUCAGGUAUUGACAUCACUCAAUCUAUACGGCAGCUCAUGGAACUUUGUUGUCCCCGGCAUUGAGAACACAUUUAUUUUACUUGAAUGCCAAACAGGUGAGUGAAGCUUUGGAGGGGACAGAAAGAAUGAACAGUACUGGACACUUUCAUUAUACCAUCCAAACCCACCCUCUGCCUUUCUUCCAUCUGCCUCUACCCUGGGAGGCUGAACUGGCUGGACUUCGUCCAUGGUUCCCUUUGCCAUCUGGCUUCUGGUUGUUUCGCAUAAAUGGGAAGCAUUGGUGGAGACUGGACUGGAGAACAGAGUGAGAUCAGGGUACUUAUUUGCUGGUUUCCUCUGUGAUGGGUCGUUAUAUGUUGAAGUAAGUUUCUCUACCAAGACCACAGCCCCUGUCAGGAAACCCUCUGCUACAACAACAGCUACUAUCUCUGGGUUCUGGUCAACUUUGCCUCUCCUUAACCUUCAGUCCUGAGGGUAGUAAUGGCUCCUCCAUCUUGCUAGUGUAGAGCAUUUCAACCAUCGCUCUUGGUUUCCUGUAACCCUGCUUACAUAUUUAUGAGCAGCCUCUUCAUUAAACCUUCCUCCAUUACCCACUUGAGUACGGCAUCUGCUUCCUGCUAGAGUGUGAGUGAUACACAUUCAGAUCAGAUUCUCAGAGCAAAACUCCAAGUAAUUAGAAAUCAGCAACAAGCACAGACUUAAAUGGACUCAAAUUACUCAAGAUAAUAAGUUAUUCACAUAGGAAACUAAGACAUAUUUAGAAUUGAAUACCAAAAAGUGUACAUCAUAGUCAUCUACAGUAGGACCAAGAAAAAGGGAAAUACAUGCAUUAAUAAAAGAAAAAGAUUAAAAGUAAAUGUCUGAAGGACUUAAAAGCUUAGAAUAAGCUUUUAAAAAUAGGGCAGACAUAAUAGGUAGGAAAUCAAUAAAAUGGAAAAAGAAAAAAGCAAAUGAGCUUCAACAAAAGAAAAAUUUGCUUUUUAAAAACCUCUAAGAAGAAAGAUCAAGAAGAGAGAAGGAACAAAACAUUUCUUACUAGUUAUCAAGACUUACAAAACUGUAGUAAUGAAAACACUAUGAUAUCAAUGCCAACAUAUAUAAUAGAAAAGAAUGCCUAUUAAUUAUAGAACAUUGAUAAAUGACAUUGCAAAUCAGAGAAGGAAAGCUAAGCUAUUCAAUAAAUAGAGCUGGGAAAAUUGUUUACGCAUACAUUAAAAAAUCUGAUACCUACCUCACACCACAAAAAGAAAACAAUUUUAAUGAAUUAACUGUCAAUAUAUAAAAAUCAGACCCCCAAAUCUUACCAAAAAAUAAAGACAGUGCCUUGGGGAAAAGAAGCAAUUAUUAAACAAGUGACAAAAAUCACAAUCAAUGAAGAAAAAGAUGGGUAAGUUUAAAUUUAUAUGUGUACAUGUAAAGCAUGACUAAUAUAUAUAAUGUUUACAGAACUGUACAUGUAUUACAUAAUCAUCAUAAAAAGGUAUUUAUUCACCCAGGAAAGUAAGCCACUACCGUGUGCCGAUAACUCUGCAAACUGCUGUAGAUACGACAGCAAAGCUGACGUGAUCUCUGCCCCGGACCGUACGUUGGCAGAUAAGCAGACAGGUUGAACAACACUGCACUUAAUAACACGAUGAAAAUAUUACUUUUACUAUCAUCCACACCAUCAUAAAGGAGCUUCUUUCCAGGCAAAUUAUUAAUCAAUGUAUCAAUGUAGUCGUGGUGAGAUAUGGCAGACCAGGGGGUGACCGAUUCUCCUAAGGCAUUUAUUUACUCUGUUUGUUUAGUCAUUCAGUAGUAUUUAUUGACUGACCCUUGAAUGCCACUGUAAUAAGCCCUGGGAUAAAAGAUGAAUACGAAAUAAUUUCUCCUCCAAGCAGAAAAUCCCUGAGCUCACCGCUGGGUAGAAGCAGACGCAUAAACUGGAAGGUCCAGUAUCUUGUGAUGGGCAUUAUGGUGGGGGAUCUUAUGGUGCUAUGGGGGCAUAUUGAAGCGCCUACCCCAGACUCUGGGGAAAGGGGUAGGUGGGUUUACGGUGGUACUUCAAAGCCCAACAGUGAAGGCAAGGAAAAUAUUUUAAUUCAGAUAACUGGGUGAAUCAUAACUCAGAAUUCUAAAUGCAUACAUUGCUAUAAAAUGAUAAUCAUGUGUUAAAGGCUGUCAUUCCCAUUUUGAGCCAAGAAAGUUCAGAGGUUCAGAACAAAACAGGUAUUUCAGAGACCUCAACAACAAACGUUGCUACAGCAGGAGUUUUCUGAGGUAAGGAUAGUGCAGCAGCAGAGUAACUAUUGUUUCUUGGAAAAGCAUAAACUAAGAGGCAACAAUCUUGGGUCUCUGUCCUGCUUUUGCUGCACACUCACUUUCUAAAGCCUAGAGUAAGCCAGUUAUCCUCCAGAGUUUGGGAAUAACAUCACAAACGUAAUGUGUUUAUUAUGAGAAUUAGAGCGUAAAGGUUAAAGUGCUUAAUAAAGCAGUACACGAAUAUCAUUAUUAAGGCUCCAGACUUUACACGUGAGCAGCCACUCCCUGAGCCUUUGGAGAUCGCUCUCCGUUCUUCUACAAGAGGAGCAGGCUUUGAUUUGCUGCCUCGCAUCCAGGAGGAGCCUCCUGUGCCCUAGGAAGCUCCCUUGGUCAUCCUGCACAUCCCCAAGCCUCCAGAAGGGCCCGGCCACGUACUUGGUCCAGGUACCGCACAUCGGGAGGGCUUACCGGCCUUGGUGCUGCUACCAUGCACCCAGUGAAGGUCCCGUGAGAAGGAUGUGGUGUGGAUUCACUCCAAGCCUGGGAAUCCUCAGAAUUCCAAACCUUCCUCUCAGCCCACACGCGGCUGAUGAAGAGUUGCCUAAAAAGAUGCACAACAUGAGAGUUCUGAGUUAAGUUUUAUUUGGGGCAAAAUGAGGACUAUAGCCUGGGAGACAGCCUCUCAGAGAGCUCUGAGAAACUGUCCCCAAGAGGCAGGGGGAGGUCAGUAUAGAUGUGAUUUUAGUGAAGGGGGAACAUGCAGUCAAACAUGCAUUUUGAGGGCCUCCCUGGUGGCAUAGUGGUUGAGAGUCCGCCUGCCGAUGCAGGGGACAUGGGUUCGUGCCCCGGUCCGGGAAGAUCCCACAUGCCGCGGAGCGGCUGGGCCCGUGAGCCAUGGCCGCUGAGCCUGAGUGUCCGGAGCCUGUGCUCCGCACCGGGAGAGGCCACAGCAGUGAGAGGCCCGCGUACCGCAAAAAAUAAAUGAAAAAAAAAACCCCAUGCAUUUUGGCAGAAGGUGGCUGCUCGUCACAAGGAGCAGAUGUCUCCAUUAAUGAUUUUAGUGCUUUUCUAGAUACAAGGAGAUGCAAGAAUUGGGCUCAUAAUAUCUCCUGAGAAUAUCUAACUAUCUGAAGGCCUGUUCUGCCGGGUUUUCCCAGAGCACAGAGGGCCUCCUUCGUGCUCUCCACCCUGAGCUCCUUUCAGGGGGUGUGGAAGGUCAGCGGCUGCAGCAGUUCAUGAUUUAAUCCUUGUAGAGGCAGAUGGCAAGUGCCAAUCUGUAGUUGGCAGACGUUUAAAAGACAGGUGGGUGCCACAUCCCACACAUACUGAGUAAGGAAAAAUGCGGCAGGGAUGAAAGUACCCAUGGUCUCUGCUAGGAAGGGCUUGUCUCUUACUGGAAUUCAGUUCAGUGGGGUUUCCCUGUGUUCCUAGUUCUGGGUUGCCUUUAAACAUGCAUAUGAUAGUGUCACUUCUCUGAACUAUUCUGAUUUGUAAGGUGGGACCUCCUGCAACUCAGUACAUCCCAGCUGCUGAAGUGUCCAUUUGAAGCUGUGUCCAUGUCUGGGGUGUGGAUGGGAAUAAAUCACCCUUGGGGUCAGAAAGAAAUAAACGCCAAUUUAAAUAGUUCUCUGGGUUAAUUUUGAUUUCAUCGGUUUUACAUACACUGAAAAUAAAUGGUCUUUGCUACCGCCCAUGUUUCCACAUGAAGUGAUGCAGACCGUGUACUGCCCGAAGCUUUCAAGCCUAGGAGACAAGUGGAGGUUGAAACACAACCUCAGCUUUUUUCUCCCAGUUUAUCCUCUCAAAGGAAAAUCUGUUCUUAAUUCAUCCAUGGCUCCGUGUGCAAAGGCGAGCAGCGACCCCAGUAUCGUUGCUCUGUCUACAGAUCGAUAAACCCGUCCCCCACAUCUGGGUCCCCCACAUUAUGGCUACUUGCAAGAAUAUUGCCUAAAUUAUCUAGAAUAACUUGUCAUAUUCCAAGGCCAGUGUUGAAAAGAAAAAAAUUGACAAAGAUACAGAGAAGACCCCAGGUACUAAUGGAGGAGUCGCUGACCUCUUUAGGAAGUUUCAUGCAAUGUAGCAGAAGCAACCUUUCCAAACAAGUUUCUUUUUCAAUUUGAACUUUUUGACAAUUUCUUUGCAAUCUCAUUCCUCUGAAUGAGUGUGAGUUUUUCCCUAUUUAUUAUUUUUUGGAGCAUAUGUCCACAUAACUAUGAAAUAAAACUUGAUCCAAAAUCUUCACUUAAAUAAGAUAAAAAUGAACUUAUUUAACAAAAAAAAAA